rnacentral:rRNA from 1 species
GAUGAACGCUAGCUACAGGCUUAACACAUGCAAGUCGAGGGGAAACGGCAUUGAGUGCUUGCACUCUUUGGACGUCGACCGGCGCACGGGUGAGUAACGCGUAUCCAACCUUCCCAUUACUGUGGGGUAACCUGCCGAAAGGCAGACUAAUACCGCAUAGUCUUCGAUGACGGCAUCAGAUUUGAAGUAAAGAUUUAUCGGUAAUGGAUGGGGAUGCGUCUGAUUAGCUUGUUGGCGGGGUAACGGCCCACCAAGGCUACGAUCAGUAGGGGUUCUGAGAGGAAGGUCCCCCACAUUGGAACUGAGACACGGUCCAAACUCCUACGGGAGGCAGCAGUGAGGAAUAUUGGUCAAUGGACGGAAGUCUGAACCAGCCAAGUAGCGUGCAGGAUGACGGCCCUAUGGGUUGUAAACUGCUUUUGUAUGGGGAUAAAGUUAGGGACGUGUCCCUAUUUGCAGGUACCAUACGAAUAAGGACCGGCUAAUUCCGUG